GUGAAUCAUCGAAUCUUUGAACGCACAUUGCACUGUCUGGAACUCCGGACAGUAUACCUGUUUGAGUAUCAGUUAACACUCUCCCUACCCAACUCUCACGAGUCGUAGGGAGGAUUUGAGUCUUCGUUUACCUUGCUGUAGGCGCGACUUUAAAUGUAUCGGCAUGUAAGGCUCUAUGCUUUAGCUUCUAGCCGACAGAGUUAAUGACUUCGGUCUUUCCCUGUCAAGUUGGUUGCGAACGGCUGGUUUUUUACAAGUCUAACUGUAACUCUACGGUAGGAUUACCCUACUGUGACUUUG
rnacentral:misc_RNA from 1 species